rnacentral:tRNA from 1 species
GCUCUAGUAGCUCAGUGGUAGAGCGAUCGACUGUUAAUCGAUUGGUCGUAGGUUCAAGUCCUGCCUGGAGCG